rnacentral:rRNA from 1 species
CCUACGGGUGGCAGCAGUAGGGAAUAUUGCUCAAUGGGGGCAACUCUGAACCAGCCAUGCCGCGUGCAGGAUGAAGGUUUUCUGAUUGUUAACCCCCUUUUUUAGAGAAGAAAACGCCGGUAUCCAACUCAUAAGCACCGGCUCACUCCGUGCCAGCAGCCCCAGUAAUACGGAGGGUGCAAGCGUUACACGGAAUCACUGGGCGUAAAGCGCGCGUAGGCGGGAUAGCAGGUCAGAUGUGAACUCCUAAGGCUUAACCAUGGAACUGCAUUUGAAACUGGUAGGCUAGAGAAUGGGAGAGGUAGGUGGAAUUCAUGGUGUAGCGGUAAAAUGCGUAGAGAUCAAGAAGAACACUCAUUGCGAAGGCGGCUUGCCAGGACAUAUCUGACGCUGAUGCACGAAAGCGUGGGGAGCAAACAGGAUUAGAUACCCUUGUAGUC